rnacentral:lncRNA from 10 species
AACUAUGUGCUUCUGCCUUUGCUAGGAGAACAUGCCAGGGCUGGCCUGUUGGAGGGCUGGGAGAGUGAGGUGGGGAGCAGCAUUUAGGUUGUCUCUCACCCAAGACAGAAAAUAAUCAGAUUGACAGAUUUCACUUUUCUCCAAGACUCAUUACUCAUCUGUUGUGUGUAGAUUUCGGCAGGGGUUCAAGAAAGCAUAUUGAUGCAUGUAUGUUGCGGUCUUAAUGCAAAUCUGAUCUAGCCUUAGAACUCUGAGCAUACCAAGAACCUAAGGGUAAAUUUAUUUUUCAUACGCAUUACCCCUUUGAAACUUGAAGAAAGACAAGGAGGAACAUAGAAUGAAAAGCAGAUUAAAAUGAAGGGUACGUGCUGA